rfam:Glomerella graminicola M1.001 genomic scaffold supercont1.24, whole genome shotgun sequence.
UAUUGAACAACGCAAAAUAAACAUUCAUGUUCUCGUGGAAACAAAAUUCGUUGAGAGGUUCGCUUCGGCUGAACCCAGGACCAUCGGAUACCGGGAUCGAAAUGGAGAAGGAAGCGAACAAUCUUGGGUGCGAUGCCUCUCUGCCUACUGGCAGGUGAGAGGGAGCGCAAUGAUUGAGCGUACAU